rnacentral:rRNA from 1 species
CGGCUAACUCCGUGCCAGCCGCCGCGGGAAUACGGAGGAGGCAAGCGUUAUCCGGAAUUAUUGGGCGUAAAGCGUCCGCAGGUGGCGAUUCAAGUCUGCUGUCAAAGCACGGGGCUUAACUCCGUUAAGGCAGUGGAAACUGAAUAGCUAGAGUGCCGGAGGGGUAGAGGGAAUUCCCGGUGUAGCGGUGAAAUGCGUAGAGAUCGGGAAGAACAUCGGUGGCGAAAGCGCUCUACUGGACGGCAACUGACACUCAGGGACGAAAGCUAGGGGAGCGAAUGGGAUUAGAUACCCCCUGUAGUC